UCCCUGGUGGCUCAGACGGUAAAGCGCCUGUCUACAAUGUAGGAGACCCAGGUUCGAUACCUGGGUUGGGAA
rnacentral:tRNA from 1 species